GCCUGACGUAAAGUCGGGGCGGGCUCGCCGCCCCGAGACUCCUGAAAAAACGGCGCCGCGCUGGGGAGAGUGACUGUCAGCGACCCUGGAACUAGCGGGCCCGGGCAGGGGGAGGUGCCACUGCAAGGAUCGAAAUAAAAAGGAGGUACAAAAAGAGAGCCUGUCAUGACCAAGAAAUGUAGAAAAUGUGAUCUUUGGACAAUGCCAUAGGAGUUCUAGGGAUCAAACAUGCCAGGUGGCUGCACACAUGUCAGGAAAGCACUCUACCAUUGAGCCACCCCCCCACCCCACCCCGGUUCCAAAACUGACAUCUUAAUCUUGUUAAGAUAAUGUAAGGAAGUACUCUAAAAGAUUAUGAAAUUGACUGUAAUUAUCAGCAUCAGUCCUUAGGAUAAAUUUUCUAAAUAAAGACUUGGGUU